CCCUUAGAUGUCCUGGGCCGCACGCGCGCUACACUGAACGGAUCAGCGCGUUUUCCCUUCCCGAGAGGGACGGGUAACCUGCUGAACCCCGUUCGUGGUAGGGAUCGGGGCUUGCAAUUAUUCCCCGUGAACCAGGAAUGCCCAGUAAGUGCAAGUCAUAAGCUUGCGUUGAUUACGCCCCUGCCCUUUGUACACACCGCCCGUCGCUACUACCGAUUGAACGUUUUAGUGAGGUACUCGGACUGAGCCUCAGAAGAUUCACGUCUUUUGUGCUGCUCGGGAAGAUUCCCAAACUUGAGCGUUUAGAGGAAGUAAAANUCGUAACA
rnacentral:rRNA from 1 species